rnacentral:rRNA from 1 species
GGGGGGGGGGGGGGGCGGGCCGGGGGGGGGGGGGGCGGGGGGGCGGGCGAGGAGGGUGCGUCUCUGGUGUUGGCGGCGGACGGGUGAGUGACACGGGGAUAACCUACCUAUCAGACUGGGAUGACUUCGGGACACCGGAGCUAAUACCGGCUACUAUUUUGAACCGCAUGUUUCCAACAUGCACGACGGUCUUGCUUUCACUUCUAGGUAGAGCCGCGCUUCAUUCUCUACGUGGUAAGGUCCCGACUUACCAAGGCAACGAUGCCUCGCCGACCUGAGAGGGUGAUCGGCCACACUGGAACUUAGACACGGUCCAGACUCCUACGGGAGGCAGCAGUAGGGAAUCUUCCGCAAUGGGCGAAAGCCUGACGGAGCAACGCCGCGUGAGUGAUGAAGGUCUUCGGAUCGUAAAACUCUGUUAUUAGGGAAGAACAUAUGUGUAAGUAACUGUGCACAUCUUGACGGUACCUAAUCAGAAAGCCACGGCUAACUACGUG